rnacentral:rRNA from 1 species
CCUACGGGAGGCAGCAGUGAGGAAUAUUGGUCAAUGGGCGCAAGCCUGAACCAGCCAAGUCGCGUGAGGGACGACGGUCCUAUGGAUUGUAAACCUCUUUUGUCGGGGAGCAAGGCCCGCCACGUGUGGCGGGAAGGAGAGUACCCGAAGAAAAAGCAUCGGCUAACUCCGUGCCAGCAGCCGCGGUAAUACGGAGGAUGCGAGCGUUAUCCGGAUUGAUUGGGGUUAAAGGGUGCGUAGGCGGAAGGUUAAGUCAGCGGUCAAAUGUCGGUGCUCAACACCGGCCUGCCGUUGAAACUGGUCUUCUUGAGUGAGCGAGAAGUAUGCGGAAUGCGUGGUGUAGCGGUGAAAUGCAUAGAUAUCACGCAGAACUCCGAUUGCGAAGGCAGCAUACCGGCGCUCAACUGACGCUGAGGCACGAAAGCGUGGGGAUCGAACAGGAUUAGAUACCCCAGUAGUC